UCUUUAUGGGGUGACUGCGUACCUUUUGUAUAAUGGGUCAGCGACUUAUAUUCUGUAGCAAGGUUAACCGAAUAGGGGAGCCGAAGGGAAACCGAGUCUUAACUGGGCGUUAAGUUGCAGGGUAUAGACCCGAAACCCGGUGAUCUAGCCAUGGGCAGGUUGAAGGUUGGGUAACACUAACUGGAGGACCGAACCGACUAAUGUUGAAAAAUUAGCGGAUGACUUGUGGCUGGGGGUGAAAGGCCAAUCAAACCGGGAGAUAGCUGGUUCUCCCCGAAAGCUAUUUAGGUAGCGCCUCGUGAAUUCAUCUCCGGGGGUAGAGCACUGUUUCGGCAAGGGGGUCAUCCCGACUUACCAACCCGAUGCAAACUGCGAAUACCGGAGAAUGUUAUCACGGGAGACACACGGCGGGUGCUAACGUCCGUCGUGAAGAGGGAAACAACCCAGACCGCCAGCUAAGGUCCCAAAGUCAUGGUUAAGUGGGAAACGAUGUGGGAAGGCCCAGACAGCCAGGAUGUUGGCUUAGAAGCAGCCAUCAUUUAAAGAAAGCGUAAUAGCUCACUGGUCGAGUCGGCCUGCGCGGAAGAUGUAACGGGGCUAAACCAUGCACCGAAGCUGCGGCAGCGACACUAUGUGUUGUUGGGUAGGGGAGCGUUCUGUAAGCCUGUGAAGGUGUACUGUGAGGUAUGCUGGAGGUAUCAGAAGUGCGAAUGCUGACAUAAGUAACGAUAAAGCGGGUGAAAAGCCCGCUCGCCGGAAGACCAAGGGUUCCUGUCCAACGUUAAUCGGGGCAGGGUGAGUCGACCCCUAAGGCGAGGCCGAAAGGCGUAGUCGAUGGGAAACAGGUUAAUAUUCCUGUACUUGGUGUUACUGCGAAGGGGGGACGGAGAAGGCUAUGUUGGCCGGGCGACGGUUGUCCCGGUUUAAGCGUGUAGGCUGAUUUUCCAGGCAAAUCCGGAAAAUCAAGGCUGAGGCGUGAUGACGAGGCACUACGGUGCUGAAGCAACAAAUGCCCUGCUUCCAGGAAAAGCCUCUAAGCAUCAGGUAACAUCAAAUCGUACCCCAAACCGACACAGGUGGUCAGGUAGAGAAUACCAAGGCGCUUGAGAGAACUCGGGUGAAGGAACUAGGCAAAAUGGUGCCGUAACUUCGGGAGAAGGCACGCUGAUAUGUAGGUGAAGCGACUUGCUCGUGGAGCUGAAAUCAGUCGAAGAUACCAGCUGGCUGCAACUGUUUAUUAAAAACACAGCACUGUGCAAACACGAAAGUGGACGUAUACGGUGUGACGCCUGCCCGGUGCCGGAAGGUUAAUUGAUGGGGUUAGCGGUAACGCGAAGCUCUUGAUCGAAGCCCCGGUAAACGGCGGCCGUAACUAUAACGGUCCUAAGGUAGCGAAAUUCCUUGUCGGGUAAGUUCCGACCUGCACGAAUGGCGUAAUGAUGGCCAGGCUGUCUCCACCCGAGACUCAGUGAAAUUGAACUCGCUGUGAAGAUGCAGUGUACCCGCGGCAAGACGGAAAGACCCCGUGAACCUUUACUAUAGCUUGACACUGAACAUUGAGCCUUGAUGUGUAGGAUAGGUGGGAGGCUUUGAAGUGUGGACGCCAGUCUGCAUGGAGCCGACCUUGAAAUACCACCCUUUAAUGUUUGA
rnacentral:rRNA from 1 species